ensembl:misc_RNA
UGGUCUGCCUCAGGGCUGAAGUCCUCUUUUUAUGCACCGAGUGGGAACAGCACAGGGAAUGAGGAAGCUGGUUGUCUUUAAACCACUCCCACAAAGUGGCUGAAGCCAAGAAAAGGGCCCAUACCUUUUGGGGAAGAGUGCUAUGCAGAUUCUUAUGCCCAUUUCACCUUUGGUUUCA